rnacentral:rRNA from 1 species
GACGAACGCUGGCGGCGUGCUUAACACAUGCAAGUCGAACGGAAAGGCCCUGCUUUUGUGGGGUGCUCGAGUGGCGAACGGGUGAGUAACACGUGAGUAACCUGCCCUUGACUUUGGGAUAACUUCAGGAAACUGGGGCUAAUACCGGAUAGGAGCUCCUGCUGCAUGGUGGGGGUUGGAAAGUUUCGGCGGUUGGGGAUGGACUCGCGGCUUAUCAGCUUGUUGGUGGGGUAGUGGCUUACCAAGGCUUUGACGGGUAGCCGGCCUGAGAGGGUGACCGGCCACAUUGGGACUGAGAUACGGCCCAGACUCCAACGGGAGGCAGCGGUGGGGAAUAUUGCACAAUGGGCGGAAGCCUGAUGCAGCAGCGCCGCGUGCGGGAUGACGGCCUUCGGGCUGUAAACCGCUUUCGCCUGUGACGAAGCGUGAGUGACGGUAAUGGGUAAAGAAGCACCGGCUAACUACGUG